UGGGGAAUUUUGGACAAUGGGCGCAAGCCUGAUCCAGCAAUGCCGCGUGCAGGAUGAAGGCCUUCGGGUUGUAAACUGCUUUUGUACGGAACGAAAAGGCUCUGGUUAAUACCUGGGGCUCAUGACGGUACCGUAAGAAUAAGCACCGGCUAACUACGUGCCAGCAGCCGCGGUAAUACGUAGGGUGCAAGCGUUAAUCGGAACUACUGGGCGUAAAGCGUGCGCAGGCGGUUAUCUAAGACAGAUGUGAAAUCCCCGGGCUCAACCUGGGAACUGCAUUUGUGACGGUAGAGCUAGAGUACGGCAGAGGAGGAUGGAAUUCCGCGUGUAGCAGUGAAAUGCGUAGAUAUGCGGAGGAACACCGAUGGCGAAGGCAAUCCCCGGGGCCUAUACUGACGCUCAUGCACGAAAGCGUGGGGAGCAAACA
rnacentral:rRNA from 1 species